ensembl:lncRNA
UCUGACUCCAGAUCGGGGCGACGAUCGGCGGGGAUGCUGGCGGAUGGAUCCGGGCGGUAACGAGUGUGUUUUUUUAAGGGACGCUGGCGCAGGACGGACGGAUGGUUAACCGAAGGACACCGGUGAAUUGGUGACGUGAAGAUGGAGAGGGGACCGCUGCUGCUGUCACCGCCACGCACACACCACUAGUCGGGGACUGGGAGGACUGCGUGGCGCGUUCGGCUGCGCAGAGGGGAGCGACUCGGUUCAACCUCAGAAGCUCUGUUGUCUCCGCUGCUCAGACCUGCAGGGCGGCUCUCCCGCCGCCGGCUGCACAUUGAGGAAUGUGAGGCAGCAGGCCACACCCUCCUGUUUGGAGAAGCACUGAAGAGGAAUUUCCAUA